rnacentral:rRNA from 1 species
GUGUCAGCAGCCGCGGUAAGACGAAGGUGGCAAGCGUUGUUCGGAAUCACUGGGCAUAAAGCGCACGUAGGUGGCGGCGUAAGUUGGGUGUGAAAUCCCUCGGCCUAACCGAGGAACUGCGCCCAAGACUGCGUUGCUUGAGGACCAAAGGGGUGCAUGGAAUUUCCGGUGGAGCGGUGAAAUGCGUUGAUAUCGGAAGGAACGCCGGCGGCGAAAGCGAUGCACUGGUUGGUCUCUGACACUGAGGUGCGAAAGCCAGGGGAGCAAACGGGAUUAGAUACCCCUGUAGUCC